UACGGAGGGGGGCUAGCGUUGUUCGGAAUUACUGGGCGUAAAGCGCGCGUAGGCGGCUUUUGUAAGUUAGAGGUGAAAGCCCAGGGCUCAACCCCUGGAAUUGCCUUUUAAGACUGCAUCGCUUUGAACAUCGGAGAGGUAAGUGGAAUUCCGAGUGUAGAGGUGAAAUUCGUAGAUAUUCGGAAGAACACCAGUGGCGAAGGCGACUUACUGGACGAUUGUUGAGCGCUGAGGUGCGAAAGCGUGGGGAGCAAACAGG
rnacentral:rRNA from 1 species